CAUUAUUUUCUUUUCUUUUACACCUUCCCAAAAACACCAUUUUGGUGAAAAACUCUACAUCAGACAUAGUUUUUUUGUGGAAUCAAUUUCAAAUUUCAAAUUCAUGGGUUUCAUUUCAGUUAUUCCCUCUUCAGAUCUCUCGCUCUCUCUUCUUUCGGUUUUCUUGAAACCCCUCUCGCCUCCUUCUCAGCUUCACAUAAAAGGAAAAGAGCAUGAUAGAUCGAAUAACAAAUUAGAGUGUGACUUCUUCAACUUUGUAAAGUAGAAAGAUUCACAAAAGUAGCAAUGACAAAGAUCAAUGAAGCACAGCACACAUGUUCUCCUCUAGGUUUCAUUGUUGCUUUGAAGAGAAAUGGGGUUUAAAGAGGGUGCAACCGCAAGAAAUCAAGCUGCCUAAAGAAAUAUUGUGAAUGCUAUCAGGGGGGUGUUGUUUGCUCCAUUAGCUGCAAAUGUGAAAGGUGCAAGAAUGCAUUCGGCAGAAAGGAUGGUAAGCUUUCCCUUAUGUUGCUCACUAUGGCAUCCAUUUUUAUUAUGUCUUUUCAAAGGUGAUUUAAUUAUUGCUAUCAAAUUCAAAUUCACAUUGCUUUGAUUUUUUAUAGAAUUGUCAAUUACUCUUAGUGUGAUCAUUAUUACCUAUAUAGAAUGAACAAAAUAAGGAUUAGAAUAAAAAUAAUGGAUGCUUUAUGCUCUUUUUUCAUUACUUCCUGAUUCACUGUUCACGGUGGAUAACUUAUGCUCAUAGUGGCUGUGAUUGUAGGCAUUCUAUCUAUUUUUUGUUGAAUUUGCAAUUUGUUAGGUUAGCGCUGUUAAAAAAAAAUUGUUAGGUUAGUCUUUUUUGUCGAAUGAGCUGUUGUGAUUAUUAGCUUCUACUGUAUUUCAUGUACUUUUUUUUUGAAAGAUCAUGAUCAUGUUAUAAUAGUUGUUUUGAUUAUUGAUGGAUAAGCCAAGGGACAAAAAAUUUACACAAAGCUCUUUAGGAUCACCAACAUUCAAUUGAAUACAUUACAAUGGUCACUCAUCUAACUACUUACCAUAUGUCAGAACUUCAAAAGUUUGUGUUAGUAACACUACCAUAAUGCUUUGGGUUCCACUAGCAAGUAACCAUAACUGAUAUUUAUAGAAUGCCUUAAGACUCAUUUUUAUUGCUCAUUGUGAUUUUCUGUUCAGAACUGAUAUUUAUUUAUCACUUAACCUACAUCGUGGAUUAACCUUUAGAGGGAUACCUAAUCAUCCUAAUAUGUAGUUGUCUACUGGUGUUGUUUGUAUGGACAAAGCUAAUGACACAAGUAAGGAGUUCAAGAGGAAAGUCUAGAGAGACAAUAUGGCAAUAUAGUUUUACCUGUUUUAUGCUUCUUAGGUUUCGGUAAAGAAUAAACGGACUCUUCUCUUUAAUGGCAAAAAGGGAUUUGCUUUGCUACUCUAUGAUAGUUAGAUGGUUUCUUCCGAUCAUCUUAGUUUCUUAAUUGUUUCUAUUUUCAUGUUUUAUCAAGUAAUUUACAAAAGAUAACACUGGUCUCUUUCCUAAUUGGCACAAGUUUAUUUGGAUGGGCAACCAAGCAAAUUAUAAAUGUUAUUCAGGCCAAAAGAUUUGUAGACUAUUGGCUACUUUGGUCCUCUAAAUGAAGUUUUCAUGCCUCAUGAUUAUUAUAUUAAUUGUUGAUGUCUUUCAGGAUCUAUUGGUUAAAGUGGAUACAAGCUGAAGGGAAAUAUGGGAAUAACUUUCAAUAUCAAGCUUUCAAUAUUUCUCACUUAAUUAGACUAACUACAAUUUAGUAAUUCUAACUUCUAUGUAUUAUGGAUUCAAUCUUACCAAAUUAGAUUGAUUGCAACUUAAGAAUUCCAAUUUUAAUGAUAAAAUGGUUGCAUCUCAUCUAAUUACAUUAAUUUUCACUUACAAAUUCGAUCUUUAUAAUACAACAAAGUAAUAUAAUCAAAGUUUUAGCAUAAAUAAUGACAUAAGAUUAUAUCUGUAAAAAACGCACGGGAGCUAUAUGAUUUUAUGUAACCUUUAUUAUAUUUUCCUUAUUAUAUGGUUGUAUUGUGUUAAUUAACAUUUGUCUAAUUGUUAUAUUUAAAAAAUCUUAUGUCAUUAUUUAAUCAUAUAAGGUAUUUGUGUCCCCGUGCGU